AACCAGUUCUCAUCAGAUCACUAAAGUUAAGCAAUGUUGAACCUGGUCAAUACCUAGAUGGGUGACCACUUGGGAAUACCAGAUGCUGUAA